rnacentral:rRNA from 1 species
GCUGGCGGCGUGGAUAAGACAUGCAAGUCGAACGGGAUUUUCUUUGGUAGCAAUACCGAAGAAAGUCUAGUGGCGAACGGGUGCGUAACACGUGGGCAAUCUGCCUUAAAGUGGGGGAUAGCUCGGCGAAAGCCGGAUUAAUACCGCAUGUGAUUACCGGAGAAUUCUUCGGAACAUCAAAGUCGGGGCAACCUGACGCUUUUUGAGGAGCCCGCGGCCUAUCAGCUAGUUGGUGAGGUAACGGCUCACCAAGGCUUUGACGGGUAGCUGGUCUGAGAGGACGACCAGUCACACUGGAACUGAGACACGGUCCAGACACCUACGGGUGGCAGCAGUCGAGAAUUUUUCUCAAUGGGGGAAACCCCGAAGGAGCGACGCCGCGUGGAGGAUGAAGGUCUUCGGGUUGUAAACUCCUGUCAUUUGGGAACAAGUUGGACGCCGUAACUGCGCGUCCAUUGAUAGUACCAGAAGAGGAAGUGACGGCUAACUCUGUGCCAGCAGCCGCGGUAAUACAGAGGUCUCAAGCG